ensembl:rRNA 5S_rRNA 5S ribosomal RNA
GCUUACGGCCAUACCACCCUGAGAAUGCCCGAUCUCGUCUGAUCUCGGAAGCUAAGCAGGGUCGGGCCUGGUUAGUACUUGGAUGGGAGACCGCCUGGGAAUACCAGGUGCUGUAAGCU